CUAUAUGAUGAACACGACAGACACCACAGGGAUUCCUCAUGCAGAACAAACUAUGUUGAUUCCGGUGCAAUAGUUUCAGCCUUGUCUGACC
rfam:Verticillium dahliae VdLs.17 supercont1.5 genomic scaffold, whole genome shotgun sequence.